CAAAACACUCUGAUUGGUUGAUUAAGUAACCAAUAAGAGUUAUGAGUUGGUCUUUCAGCCUUUUGGUAGAUAACUCCCUGAUACCGUGGGAAUUAGGGAGUUUUCUACAAAGCAGCUGCAAGAGAAGUCCUGAAAUGCCAGAGUUUCAAUGUGCCGAAGUGGUGAAGUUCCAAAGUGUCAAAGUUCCGAAGUGUUGAAGUGCCGAAGUCCCGAAUUUCGGAAUGCCGAACCGAGCCGAAUAUUUUCAAGAUGAUAGGGCAGCCACUGAUUCCCAUAAUGGUACACCGAACAAGUUUACCUAUAACUAUAGGGCACAAGCUUAACCCGUUUGGUCGCUGCAUUAUCUUUUGCACAGAAAAUUACAUUUUUACGAGAGUACUGUUCUCAAUAAAAAUAUGUCUUUUUCUGCACCAUAAAGGGGUAUUU